rnacentral:ncRNA from 2 species
UGGACCCGUCCGAGGAGAAUCCGGCCCCGCGCCGGUGCCGAAGGAGCAACCGCCCCGGUAAACUCUCAGGCCCAAGGACCGGACGGCGACA